rnacentral:lncRNA from 1 species
AUGUUCGAAAAUAGCCAAGGAGAUUAUUGAAAUGUUUCAUGAAUUUUAAAUUCGUUCAUGAUACAUUAUAAUGGGUCGGUGCAAGUUGAGAUAAAUUUGGAAAUUAAUUGGUCUUGGAUAAGUCUUGAGACUUUUAAUGCAAAUCCAAAUUUGAAAUGAAUUUACAAAUCGAAUAUCAUUUAAAAAAGGGGUUGUUAGGAUGGAGUAAAAAGGUGGGGAAGCAACCAAGCAAGUUGGUUUGUGUCUAUAUUUAAUUUGAAGGAUGGAAGGAAGCAACGAGUAGCAGGUGAAUUAAAAAAAAAAAACUUAGUUGCGAUAAAGAAGAAAGCAACACAAGAGCAAUACUGGAGUCAAGUCGGAUCUUCAUGAACUGAUUAAGGCAUGAAGCAAGUUUAAGCAAGAAACCCGAUCCGUGCGGUUCGUUUAGCAUGACGAGCAAGAAAGAAUGAAGAAACUUGUCAAGAUUAAGGGGGUGAGUGUAGGUUAAUCUUGACGGGUUUUAAUAUGGGUUUUAGGGUACCGGAAAUGGAGCUUCGUAAUCGGAUACGGGUCAAACGAAUCAGCAGAAAAGUUAUUUAUGUCACAUGGUUUUUAUGUUUUAUUUGGUCAAAUAUUGGUGUUCAGUCAUGGUUAGUUUUACUCAUUUGUAGGAGUAGUGGUUAGUUAGUUUCCUUUAUUUACUCAUUUGUAUGUAGCUAAAUGUGUGUAUAUAUGUUUGGUGUUGCAAUGAAUAAAAGUGUGGGUUUGAAGCAGUAAAAUAAGUUUCCUAUUCGUGAGUUUAUCUUUGUGUAUUUUUGUGUU